rnacentral:rRNA from 1 species
CCUACGGGAGGCAGCAGUAGGGAAUUUUUCACAAUGGGCGAAAGCCUGAUGGCGCAACGCCGCGUGCAGGAUGAAGGCCUUCGGGUUGUAAACUGCUUUUAUAAGCGAGAAAUAUGAUGGUAACUUAUGAAUAAGGAUCGGCUAACUACGUGCCAGCAGCCGCGGUCAUACGUAGGAUCCGAGCAUUAUCCGGAGUGACUGGGUGUAAAGAGUUGCGUAGGUGGCAUAAUAAGUAGCUAGUGAAAUCUGGUGGCUCAACCAUUCAGACUAUUAGCUAAACUGUUAAGCUCGAGACCGUUAGGGGUAACUGGAAUUUCUAGUGUAGGAGUGAAAUCCGUAGAUAUUAGAAGGAACACCAAUAGCGUAGGCAGGUUGCUGGGACGGUUCUGACACUAAGGCACGAAAGCGUAGGGAGCAAACGGGAUUAGAUACCCCAGUAGUC